rnacentral:rRNA from 1 species
AGUGAACGCUGGCGGUAGGCCUAACACAUGCAAGUCGAACGGCAGCACAGUAAGAGCUUGCUCUUACGGGUGGCGAGUGGCGGACGGGUGAGGAAUACAUCGGAAUCUACUUUUUCGUGGGGGAUAACGUAGGGAAACUUACGCUAAUACCGCAUACGACCUACGGGUGAAAGCAGGGGAUCUUCGGACCUUGCGCGAUUGAAUGAGCCGAUGUCGGAUUAGCUAGUUGGCGGGGUAAAGGCCCACCAAGGCGACGAUCCGUAGCUGGUCUGAGAGGAUGAUAAGCCACACUGGAACUGAGACACGGUCAAGACUCCUACGGGAGGCAGCAGUGGGGAAUAUUGGACAAUGGGCGCAAGCCUGAUCCAGCCAUACCGCGUGGGUGAAGAAGGCCUUCGGGUUGUAAAGACCUUUUGUUGGGAAAGAAAAGCAGCAGGUUAAUACCCCGCUGUUCUGACGGUACCCAAAGAAUAAGCACCGGCUAACUUCGUG